AACGGACGCUGGCGGCAUGCCUAACACAUGCAAGUCGAACGAAGCCUUCGGGCUUAGUGGCGCACGGGUGCGUAACGCGUGGGAAUCUGCCCUUGGGUUCGGAAUAACAGUUAGAAAUGACUGCUAAUACCGAAUGAUGUCUUCGGACCAAAGAUUUAUCGCCCAAGGAUGAGCCCGCGUCGGAUUAGCUAGUUGGUGAGGUAAAGGCUCACCAAGGCGACGAUCCGUAGCUGGUCUGAGAGGAUGAUCAGCCACACUGGGACUGAGACACGGCCCAGACUCCUACGGGAGGCAGCAGUGGGGAAUAUUGGACAAUGGGCGAAAGCCUGAUCCAGCAAUGCCGCGUGAGUGAUGAAGGCCUUAGGGUUGUAAAGCUCUUUUACCCGGGAUGAUAAUGACAGUACCGGGAGAAUAAGCCCCGGCUAACUCCGUGCCAGCAGCCGCGGUAAU
rnacentral:rRNA from 1 species